CCGCACUGCGCCCUGAAGAACAGCGAGAACGGCAACUUGUAGGUUGUGUGUUCUUUGCCACAAUGAUAAUGAAAGGUCGUGCUCACUCUGGGCUCUGACGCAAUGAAAACGAAGCCAACAGCGUAGCUGGGAUCGGCUGGUCCGGCGAGGUCCCGCCCCGCCCGGACGGCCACCUGCGCCCCGCUACGGCCUCACCUCCGUGCCCGGCUGCUCGGCCCGGUUCGGGCGCACAGCCCGGGCCGCGCGGGUGGAUCCACGGCCAUCGCCGCGGGAGCCGCGGGCGGCGGAGCGGAGCCGACAGAGCCACCGGCCCCGGGACCAGCCGACCCACCUGGACACCCCGCACCCCGGACCCGGGGGACACCCCCAUGGCCGCGCGAGGCCCCGAAGCCCCCAGCGGGCGCGCGCUGCGGGACGCGGCAGAAAAUCUAUUUCAGGAACUUCAAGAACACUUUCAAGCUCUGACUGCAACGUUAAACCUGAGAAUGGAAGAAAUGGGAGGUCGCAUUGAAGACUUGCAGAAGAAUGUGAACGACUUGAUGGUGCAAGCUGGGAUUGAAAGUUCCGCUCAGGAGAAAAUGGCGAGGCCUUAUUAAGGCACUAAGGCUGGUUGCCUCUGUGUCAGCUGCCAUGUCUAAUUCCUGGACUUUGCAUAAAAGCCAUCCUGGGAAGGUCGGGAAACAGAAGUCACUCGAUGCCCAGAGAACCAGGGAAAUGACGGUGAGCGUCUUUUCAGGUGAUUACUGGCUACAGUAUUUGUUUUGAAUCCUGGCUCACAGCUGCAAAACCUUCGGAAUUUCCAGCAACAAGAGUGAUGGGAUAUUUGGACUCUAGUCCUCCGUUCCUGAAGACACUUUAGGGCCAUAAAGGUGAAACGGGUGCAUAAGCACCCUUUCUGUCACAGUGAGUUUGCUAAUGAAGGUGACUUCUAGAUCCCACCAGCAGGGUGCGCAAGAAUCGCCUGUUGGCGUAGGGAAGCCUGCACACACGCGCACACGCGCACACGCUGCAACUGGGCCUGGGAACCCCUUUAUCAUCUGUCCCCUUGCAUCUCCCUGGUUCCCCGUGCUAAUUUACUCAGCUGUUGCCAUCAGAUGACGGUCUGUGAUAGGAGGAAGCCUGUCUUAUCUGACUGAAUGUCCCAGCACUAGACAUAAAAGCCAGCAGGACUCUAUACGUAUAUAUACUUGGUGAAUAAAUUAAAAUACUGUUACUACUUGUCUUAGAAUCCUGGAAUCCCGGGUCACAGAAACAGUAGGUUUUGUCCCCUUUUCCAAGUGCAGCAUCAGUCCCAAACCAUCAAAACACACGGUGGCCGCAGCGCCACUCGACUCCUUUCUGCAACCUCCUUCCCCGUCAGGGCAGCCCCGCCCAGGUGGGCCCUACAUAGUGCAGUGCCCACGGCCCACCUGGAGGGCUCUGGGAAAACGUGAGAAGCAUGGCAGGAAAGGCCGAGAUUGCCUUAAACAGACUGUUAGUGGAAACGUGGCUUGGAAGAAGAUGGGGAUGCAUUUCGGGGAGUGGAGGAAAGGGAUCCUUGCUGCACAGCGGCAGAAUGUCUGUGACGCUCCAAAGUGAUGAGCAUGGAUACCAGCCGAGGACACGUAAGCAAAGUCUUGAAGGCGCUGCCUGGGUUCGUACUGCUUAUAGUAAAAGGAGGGAGACAAACCAGAGUAAGAUCCGUUAACCCAAAAGAUUUCUCAGCCUCUCCAGAUAGCAAAAGAUGCUGAAAUCCAGAAAUGGCUGCUGAGCUGUUGACACAGAGGCCACACCACCUUCUGCUGAAACCUAGUAAAGACCUAAAAGUCAGACGGUUCAGUCACAGGACAGGAUCUUCCCCCAGGAAGCAGCCAUCGGACAGAGGGCAGCCCCGGUGCCCAGGACAGAAACCUGACUGGCUCAGGCUAAGAGGGACAGAGCACGCAGUGAGAGGGGCUGAUGCAACCCCAAAAUGCUGCUGGCAGGAAGCAGGUUGAAAAAUGAACCAGCUGCAAAUGGCUUUCAUAAAAAAGGCAGGAAAAACUGGGUAGAACCCUCCCAGGGGGAGGCACUGGGCCAGGACUAUGGUCCCAGUGCCGCAUCAGAGCCCCCUUCCGAACCCUGACGCCCCACGGUGAACCCAAAUCGCUUCUUGUGCCUGUCCCACACUGCGUCCUGGAGAGGGGGCCACAGAUACGGAGCUGUGUCCAGGAGCUGUGCUUAAUGGGUCACCUGGGAAGCCUCAUCCACACCCAGUUUUGCACAUGGGAGGGAUAUGAAUCUUUGGGAGUCGGAGGGCAGGCUGCAGUAGGCAAAAUGCUAAAAUAACCCCUGCUACUUCCCGCCCUAAUCCCUGGGACGGUGCUAUGAUGGGACACCAUGCCUCUGAUCAGUUACACUACACUGCAAAGGGAAUUCUGCAGAUGUCCCUGAGGUUACUCCUCAGUUCAUUUGAAAAUAAGGAGACUCUCCUGGAUUACUGGGUGAGUCUAAUCCAAUCACAAGCGCCCUCUGAAAGCAGAACAGGAAGUUGGAGCAGCUGUACGAAAAGGACUCAACUCACUGCUCAGGGCUUCGAAGACAGAGGGGCCUCUAGAGGCAGAGAGCGGCCCUGGCGGAAAGAGACCUCAGACCCCCAAUCACCGGGAGAUGGAUCCAGCCCACAGCCCCGGUGAGCCAAGUGGAUUCUUCCCUGACCAACUGCCUACAUGACAGCCCAGCCCGUGACUCUGGCCUUGUGAGACCCCGAGGCAGAACCCACUGAGCCUGCCUGGACUCCGCCCUGCAGACCUUGAGCUCAUAAAUGGUGUUGUUUUCAGCCACCAAGUUUGUUACAGAAAAUAGAAACCGAAUACACACCCUGCACACUCCACCCAGACCUUCCUCGACCAUUAGGGAGCUCUGCUUCUGCAGUACGGCCUAAUGUUUAUAUUGCUACUUACUAACUUUUGUAGUAACAAUAAACAGUACGAAAUUUUGACAAGUAAAAACAGUGAUUUUUUUUUUUUAAAAAUGGUGAUUUCUUUCCAAAUUAAACCUCCACAACAGAAUUUUUUUUUCACUCAUGAUGUUACUUAACUUUAUUAUAUAAAUACCAUCAAAGGUAUUUGCGUCUGCAUCAGACUCUUGUGUACCUAACUCUGCAUUUUCCUUUCAUGCAAAGCCUGCCAAUCAUGGGUACAAAUUAAUUUAAGGUGAUUAGAGAAAGUCUAUUCCUUGAGCCCAUGACUGACUGACUAGGGUACACAAUAGAAUUUUUCAGCUGAUAAAAGAUUUUUUACAAGAUUCUGUAUUUAUAAGCAAAGUAAUUAAGUACAGGUUUUCCUCUUGGAUAUCACAAAAGGAUGCUAAAUAGAGUCACUGAUACAUUUAAAAAGUGAGUUAUUUUAAAGACAUUUUUCAUCAACAGAUUAAAUUUAAAGGUAUCUUAAAUUUCAGUAAGAAUGUCUUCCAUUUAAUAACACUUCCCCUAGGUUCCUGGGCAGUUAUUUCAAAACGGCAAUUUGUUACUGAGUAAAUGCUAAAACUGGAAUUGUUACUUUGAAAAUUAUUUAAAAGAUUGAUUGCCUGGUGAUACAAACUAUAUUAUAAUAUGACUGCAUAACUGAUUUCCUCCUAAAUAAAAGAAUCUAAAGAUUUCUUGAUCUCAUUAAACUUCCAGACCAUCUAUUCAAUUUAAACAACAACUUUAAGAUAAGAGAACAUACCUGAAGAAAAACAUGACAGUGCACGGAUCGUAUAACUCAUACAUUUUGUUGAAGUCAGGUACUUCUGUAAUAUCCACAAGAUAAAUAACUGCGAAAUUUUUAACCUAAAAGUAAAGGAGAUUGGGGGAAAAAAACUAAAAUAACAAAUCAACUUUUUAUUCUGUAAAAGCACAUUCAAAAACAAAAACAGAAGAAUUUGUGUAUAACAGGACAAUCUUCAAACUGACUCUGCAACAUUUUUUCCCAGUAGAGCUGCCAUGUAGGAAAUUACUUCAAGAGGAUCAGGGUCCUGAGCAACUGUCCAUUAACAUCUCGUUUAAUGUUUUUCAGAACAGCAAGUUAUGAGAAUCCUGCAGAAGACGUCCACAGAUACAUUAUUCACGCUGAUCUAUUAAUAAUCUACAUGAACUUUUCCAAUUUGGACUUUCACAAAUACUGAAUUACACGCAUUAAACAACUGCUUUAAAACAUGACUUUGGAAUUCAGCCACACACUCCCCUCUUACUGAGCUGCAAGCUCAUCAGAGAACAUCUGGAAAACCCAGAAAACCAUAAAUAAAACAACCUUCAACCCCGACACGCAGAGCUGACUGCUGAGAAUACACUUUCACUAUAUCCUUCCCCAUUUUUUCUGGAAAAGGGCCAUGUGAAAACACACCAAGGGAGAAGCCACAUGAACACGGAGGAUUGGAGUGACGCACACCUAUAAGCCAAGGAGUGCCACAGAUCGCGGAAGACGUCAGGAGUUGGAAGAAACAAGAGGGGGUUCUCCCUUGAGGGUUUCAGAGGGAGCACGGCCCUGCUGACACCUUGAUUUCGGACUUCUGAGCUCCAGGAUGUGAG